rnacentral:sRNA from 1 species
UCGCAUUGAGGUCCCCGACCACCAAGGCCGGA